rnacentral:rRNA from 1 species
UACGUAGGUGACAAGCGUUGUCCGGAUUUACUGGGCGUAAAGAGCGCGCAGGCGGGCGUUCAAGUCGAGUGUGAAAGCCCCCGGCUCAACUGGGGAGGGUCACUCGAUACUGAUCGACUCGAAGGCAGGAGAGGGAAGUGGAAUUCCCGGUGUAGUGGUGAAAUGCGUAGAUAUCGGGAGGAACACCAGUGGCGAAGGCGACUUCCUGGCCUGUUCUUGACGCUGAGGCGCGAAAGCUAGGGGAGCAAACAGG